rnacentral:rRNA from 1 species
AGUAUGGAGCCGGUAUCAGGCCUACGCCAACGACACCACGCUAUGCCACACCCACACGGGCCUGCAGCAGUAACAGACAUUAGGCAAUUGGCGAAAGCCAGACCUAGUUAUGAUCAAGAAGGUUGGUAAAAUUCGUGCCAGCGACCGCGGUUAUACGAAUAACCUAAAAUAAUGGAAACGGCGUAAACAUGACCAGAGUUUAGGGAAGAGACUAAGACUUGCUGUAAAAUGCCAAAUCUAAAAAAACCUCACAGCCCUAACGCCCUUGACUCAUGAAAGCCAAGAAACAAACUAGGAUUAGAUACCCUACUAUGCUUGGCAGAAACAAGGCUCCAGCCCGCCAGAUAACUACGAGUGAAAACUUAAAACUCAAAGGACUUGACGGUGUCCCACACACAACCUAGAGGAGCCUGUCCUAUAAUCGAUAAUCCACGAUAGACCCUACCACCUUUAGCCAAACAAUCUAUAUACCGCCGUCGGAAGUCUACCUUUUGAAAGAAAAAAAGUGAACAAAAUAGCCCUCGCUAGCAUGACAGGUCAAGGUGUAGUUAAUAGGGUGGUCAGAGAUGGGCUACACUUCCUUAGUAAAGGAGAUACGAACAGCAUAAUGAAACCACGCUAGAAGGCGGAUUUAGUAGUAAGAUGGGAUUAGAAAGUCCAUUUGAACACAUUGCCCUGGGACGCGUACACACCGCCCGUCACCCCUAUCGAU